ensembl:lincRNA
GGAAACCAUUUGCAUUCAACAUACAGGUCCCAAAAGUCAGUUAUCCCGUUAAGUACAUGUGUAGUCAGGUCCCUUUCCUUUCUGUCUAGUGGGAGAAUCAAUGGUGUGCGUUGCGACGUCUAUUAGUUAGGUUAAUAAAUCGCUUUCUUUUAUUUUUACAUCCCCCAUUGCGAUCCACGGUACCAUCACGCUUGCACCCUCAGUUCGCGGACCACAGCGCACCUUUGCCUGAGACGGAUUCCCGAGGAUGUUCGAGGCAGCUUCACCACCCUCCACCUUCCACAAACGUUCCACAUGCAAUCGUGGCUUCACCACCAUCCACCUUCCUUAAACGCGUGUGGAGGGGAUGGGCAGCUUUGCCCUCUCAUGGCCAAAAUCCCGCCCAGAAAGGCUGUGCCAGUAGGAUCUUGGCCAAUUAGAGGCGGACAGCGAGGUUUUUUUUUUCGCCAAGAGCCCCUCCCUGUAGAGGAAGGAGAUGUAUCUCCGAGACUCUCGGAGUGAGCAAGAGAGUUUUCACGGUGAGCGGCCCAGUUGGUUCACGGUGGCUGAGAGGAGCGGCCGAGUUUGUUUGCGGUGGCUGUUGAGAGGAGUUCUGUUGACCCCGACUAUUCGCCACACGAGCCCCGCCACGAGCCACGAGUCUUGCACGAACUCCCGAACUGUGCCCCGACGACCUUUAGCAGGAGCUGCAUUACAGAGACUCCCUUCCUUCAACGACCAGGGCUGAUGUGGAGAUGUAAUACGGCGAUAUUAAGGACCGAGUGAGAAUUUUCUGUUACCAGAGUGUCGGGGUCACAAACUCCAGUCAUACGGCGUCGAGUUCGGUUGGACAGGAAAUUAUGCCAUGAGAGCGUAGAUGUCACCACCAUGAAGGACAAGUUGCUCGUGCGGGACGCUGUCCCUGUGAGUCAUGGAUUAGCAAUCCAGGAGUCAGACUCCCACCUUGUCCACCUGGAUGCGAAGCGUCAUUAUCCAUCAGAAGUUGCAUCGUUUGGAAUCUCCUGUGGCACGGACAAUGAUUUCAAGUCACUGCUGAAUAAUGUGGAAGCUCUGCCUUUGAAGGAGGAUGGAGAAAACAGUGACAAUGACAUGUUUGUCGAGUACGAGUACGAGUACGACAGCAUUCUUCACGAUUCCAACUUCUGCAGCAUGGAGGAGGAAUUCGGGAUUCAACGUGAUGAUGAAACUCGUGUCGAAGACUUUUCGAUAUCUCCGCAGAUAUUAGGAUCAGCUGAGAAUGCGGAGAAAUCGAUGGACAACAAUGUUGGGAAACGCAAAAUUGUAUCUCUGGAAUGCAACACCGAAAGGAAACAUUGCCUAUUGAUAACCAAGCCAGAGAAUGAGGGCAAUCGUUCUGCUCAACAGUGUGUACAAAGUGGUGCACAAAGGGAUUCAAUUACAGAGGAGUGCAUCAGGGAUGUUCAUAACGCUGUAAGCCAUGAUACUGUAGAUACAGUGAAGUCUUUGCACCGUGGUGAAGAAUCCGAAAUGACGUCUAGUGACGGCUUGACUGGGGUUAACAAUGGGGUGAGAAAAAAAGAAAAUGAUCUUCCCAAAAUACUUCUGAAAAAAGAUAAAUUAAUUGAUAACAAAUGCAUAAAUCUGAACAACCAAAGCAGGGUUGGUGCUUGCGGUUUGCUGGAAGGAAGAAGCAGAAACCUCAAAACAGCAGAAGUACCAAGUGUGCAGACCACAGUCAAGCGCAAAACUGCCGACACCGUGCCCGUGGCUGCGAACAACGACACCGUGUCCGUGGCUGCGAACCAAAAGGAGUAUCGGCGAUAA